AUACCUUUCUCAUCCUUUUGGCUAAGAUUAAGUGUAGUAUCUGUUCUUAUCAGUUUAAUAUCUGAUGUGUGAGCCAAUGGCUCCCACGAUAUUAAAUUUAUUUUUUGAGGGGGAGAGUCCGUCACAAUAGCUUGUUAUUGGGUCUUUCAAGUGUCGCUUUUGCGUUGCACUAUUGCAAUUGCCUGACACACCCCAU